rfam:Desulfosporosinus orientis DSM 765, complete genome.
CAGACGAUAUCAAUUCGAGUCGUACUGAUUUCAGGAAAAGGAAUUAUCAUAUUAUUUAUUAAAUAAAGCCGCUUGGAUCUAAAGGACCGAGACGGAGGA